rnacentral:rRNA from 1 species
GACGAACGCUGGCGGCGUGCUUAACACAUGCAAGUCGAACGGUGAACGAGGGAGCUUGCUCCCUCCGGAUCAGUGGCGAACGGGUGAGUAACACGUGAGCAAUCUGCCCCGAACUCUGGGAUAAGCGUUGGAAACGACGUCUAAUACCGGAUACGACGCGGGAGGGCAUCCUCUCCGCGUGGAAAGAACUUCGGUUCGGGAUGAGCUCGCGGCCUAUCAGCUUGUUGGUGAGGUAACGGCUCACCAAGGCGACGACGGGUAGCCGGCCUGAGAGGGUGACCGGCCACACUGGGACUGAGACACGGCCCAGACUCCAACGGGAGGCAGCGGUGGGGAAUAUUGCACAAUGGGCGCAAGCCUGAUGCAGCAACGCCGCGUGAGGGACGACGGCCUUCGGGGUGUAAACCUCUUUUAGCAGGGAAGAAGCGAAAGUGACGGUACCUGCAGAAAAAGCACCGGCUAACUACGUG